CUCGUAUACUCAUAACCUUCCCCCUACCCUCAGGUGUGGGUUUUGCUACCAGGCAGGUGGCCAGCAUGACCAAGCCUACCACAAUCAUCGAAAAGAAUGGGGACAUUCUCACCCUAAAAACACACAGCACCUUCAAGAACACAGAGAUCAGCUUUAAGUUGGGGGUGGAGUUCGAUGAGACAACAGCAGAUGACAGGAAGGUCAAGUCCAUUGUGACACUGGAUGGAGGGAAACUUGUUCACCUGCAGAAAUGGGACGGGCAAGAGACCACACUUGUGCGGGAGCUAAUUGAUGGAAAACUCAUCCUGACACUCACCCAUGGCACUGCAGUUUGCACUCGCACUUAUGAGAAAGAGGCAUGACCUGACUGCACUGUUGCUGACUACUACUCUGCCAAUCGGCUACCCCUCGACUCAGCACCACAUUGCCUCAUUUCUUCCUCUGCAUUUUGUACAAAUCCACGAAUUCUUCUGGGGUCAGGUGCCACUGACCGGGAUCCAGUUCCAGUUCCCAUGGUGUAUGUGGUUUUUUUUGUUUU
rnacentral:sRNA from 1 species